rnacentral:lncRNA from 1 species
UAAUGUUGUGGCAUUGGAAGAUAGGAAGGAGGUGCCCCUACCUUCCACCUAUAUUGUUAAUAUCGCUGAUGUCAGUGGCCUGACCCGUAGUGGUCGUGUUUUCUCGGCCCCGCCGAAACCCUAGGCUGACACAAGAAGGGUUGAUACUGCUGAGAGUGUUGUUCGUCCAUUAGGGAAUUCUGUUGUUUCUCCGAAUCUGGCACUUGUUGUUAAUAGACUUGCCGCCGUUAUUGCUAAAACUCCUAUCCCUGAUGGCCAUAAUGGCAUGAUGAAAG